ensembl:snRNA U6 U6 spliceosomal RNA
UUGCUUUGACUGCACAUACACUAAAACUGGAAUGAUAUAGAGAAGGUUAGCAUGGUUCCUGCCAAAGGAGGACACACAAAUUCAUGAAGCACUUCUUAUUUUU